rnacentral:pre_miRNA from 1 species
CAAGUACUCCCUCCGUCCGGAAAUACUUGUCGGAGAAAUGCAUAAAAAUGGAUUUAUCUAGAAUUAAAAUACGUCUAGAUACAUUCAUUCCUUUGACAAGUAUUUCCGGACGGAGGGAGUAUGAU